AUUGAACGCUGGCGGCAGGCUUAACACAUGCAAGUCGAACGGUAACAGAACUAGCUUGCUAGUUGCUGACGAGUGGCGGACGGGUGAGUAACGCGUAGGAAUCUACCUAGUAGGUGGGGGACAACCUGGUAGAAAACCAGGCUAAUACCGCAUACGCCCUAUGGGGGAAAGCGUGGGACCUUCGGGCCACGUGCUAUUAGAUGAGCCUGCGUGAGAUUAGCUAGUUGGUAGGGUAAGAGCCUACCAAGGCGACGAUCUCUAGCUGGUUUGAGAGGAUGAUCAGCCACACUGGGACUGAGACACGGCCCAG
rnacentral:rRNA from 1 species